ensembl:lncRNA
AUUUUCUUCUUCUUGAACUGCACUGUUGGUUAAGGGCUUGUAAGUAAGCAUUUCAUGGUAAAGUCUACAGUGUUGGUUAAGGGCUUGUAAGUAAACAUUUCACGGUAAAGUCUACAGUGUUGGUUAAGGGCUUGUAAUAAAGCAUUUCAUGGUAAAGUCUACAGUGUUGGUUAAGGGCUUGUAAGUAAGCAUUUCAUGGUAAAGUCUACAGUGUUGGUUAAGGGCUUGUAAGUAAAGCAUUUCAUGGUAAAGUCUACAGUGUUGGUUAAGGGCUUGUAAGUAAAGCAUUUCACGGUAAAGUCUACAGUGUUGGUUAAGGGCUUGUAAGUAAA